rnacentral:rRNA from 1 species
AAGAGUGAACUAGCUAACUGAAAUCACAAACGACAUACUUGUGUUAAUUGUGAUAACGUAAGGGAAAAAACUGAUAUUACCUUACUAUAAGUGUUGUCCAAAACUGGUGCCAGAAGACUCGGUAAGACCAGAAACGCAAACGUUAAUCGUCUUAAUCAGGCGUAAAGGGUUUGUAGGCUGCUUUUACUAUUUCUAAGUAAAAUAGCUCUGAUUUAAUCAGUUACAUUGAAAUAUAAUAAAAGCUAGAAUCUAAUAGAGGAUAAGAAAAAUAAUACUUAGAGUAGGGAUGAUAUCCUUAGAUACUAAGGGGAAUACUAAAGGUGAAAACUUUUAUCUACUAAAGAUUGACGCUGAGAAACGAAGGUGAGAAUAGGAAAUAGGAUUAGAUACCCAGAUACCUCUCACAGUCAACGAUGAAUGGUAGUUUGUUAGUUUUAGUAAAAACUGAUAACGAUGCUAACGCGUUAACCAUUCCGCCUUGCGAGUACGGUUGCAAAACUGAAACCAAAAAAAUUAGUCGGUCUCGAAGCAAACGAAGUGGAGCAUGUUAUUUAAUU